UUUUUCUUUUGCUUCGGUCUUUUGCAGCUUUCUCUACUAAGGGUUCUCCUUUUUCACCCAAGUAAUUGCCUUUCCAUCUAAUGGCCCAAAUGGUCAAAUGGCAUCUAAUAGUCUCAUAGGACCGCUGCCUCUCUGGCCUCGCCCUGCUGCUGAGGUCAGCAUGAACUGGAACUUUCCACUUGUCCCUUUCAGUAACCUGAAGCUUUCACCGUAGACGUGCUGUAUUGCCCAGAAGCCAUCGUGUCGCUGGUCGGGGUCCUGCGGAGGCUGGCUGCCUGCCAGGAGCACAAGCGGGCUCCUGAGGUCUACGUGGCCUUUACCGUCCGCAACCCAGAGACGUGCCAGCUGUUCACCACCGAGCUAGGUGAGCCCACACACCCACCCGGGCCUGCAUGGUCCCUGAGCUGUCCCUGCAGGACUCCAGUGGAAGUGAAAGAACUGGGCACCGGGGAAAAGCUAGGAUGUCCCACACUCCUACACCAUGCAGGGAACUCGGGCACAGGCCGGCUGGGCCGGGAUCAGAUGGGAAGCAGAAGCUCAUCAUGACCAGAAACUGUUUCCCUACGGAGAGCACUUGGAGAUGGCAAUGCUGAACCUCACACUGUAGGACUCACACACGACUCUAACGGGAUUGUAAGAAUCAAGUCACUCUCAUGGGAAGAAUUUUUAUAUGGGAAAGCGGCUAAAACUUUCAUUGGACUGGAAUGUUUGGAGAUUGUUAAAUUCCAAAUCAGGAACCACAAACUGCCCUCUAAUAAGAUAUCAGCUGUCUAAGCGUGUGGGUGCCGCCUUUCUGCCAGUAGUUCUGGUUCUUAAGAAAAGCACCAUAAAUCAGACAUGAAAAUUCUGGCUCCAAAAAUAGCAUUUUCUUUGUGCAAAUAAAAACGUGUGUAUCAAGUAUGACGUUCCCCCAACGUGGACACACUUGGUUCCUCAGAAAGCCAAGCCCGCUGCAGCUGCCACAUCCCAGGGCUUAUGGUGCAGCAGGUGCUUUUUUCAAGACAGGAAUCAAAGUGUUAGGAACACGGCAGACAGGUGACACCUGGAUACCAAAUGCAGGAUGAGGAGUACUGCAGAGGUCACAGGGAAGUCACAGAACAGUAAUACGCUAGCAGGGGCAUGGGGCGUGAAGAACAGAAGAAGACAGGAAGCGUUUCAGAGACUCCAAAGAAGAAAUCAGGGCCCACCACAGCUUCCCGGGUCAUUCACCAGGUGGCACCACUGCCGUCAUUUCAGCUUCUGGCCACUGGGAGGCGCUGCUCGAAAGGGUUUGCCCUGAGACUCCAAGAAGAAGCUGCGGGAAGGACAGCAGGGGCCCUGGGGUUUUAGCCUCUGGCCCAGGAGUUAUGUGUCCAUAACCAAAGGGAGCAUAGUCUGCACCCAGCUCUCAUCCCAUCAGAGCUGCUGCGACUCCCG
rnacentral:lncRNA from 1 species